UCGUGUACGAAGAAAAUCCCAAAUCACACAGCAUGAACAGCAACGAAUACUCCUACGGAAUCGUCGUUGUAGGAGAGCCACCUUACGCCGAGACUUUUGGAGACAGCGCGAAUCUCACGAUCCCUGAGCCAGGACCGAGUGUGAUCAAGAAUGUAUGCGGAAAGAUGAAAUGCGUCGUUGUUUUGAUCUCCGGUAGACCGUUGGUCAUCAAACCAUACAUGAAGAAGAUCAAUGCACUCGUUGCCGCUUGGUUACCUGGAACUGAAGGUCAAGGCGUGGCCGAUGUAUUGUUCGGAGACUAUGGAUUCUCUGGUAAGCUUUCUCGAACUUGGUUCAAGUCCGUCGAUCAGUUGCCGAUGAACGUCGGAGAUAAACAUUA
rnacentral:lncRNA from 1 species